UCCCCAUUGACUUCAAUGUUAAAAUUUUUGCACAAAAAGUUAAAAAAAACAAAAAGUAUAAAAGGUAGAAAGGUAAAAAGUACAAGCAAACAUGUCCUGAAGGAGUGGAAUAGUUUAAAGUUUGAACGGUUGAAAUCGGACAAAGUUUGAAGGAGUUGAAAGCGGACGAAAAACGGCGGAAGAAAAAUAAUAAUAACUAGAAAAAUUGCAUUUCCUUGCAGAAAAUGCGUGGAAAUGCUGAGUGCUGAAGCUGAAAAAGCAAUGCUAAACUGCUAAUAAAACAUGGAGAAAGGUAUAAAUGUUAAGGCUGUUGAAGGAGUGAAAAAGAAAUAUAGGUUGGACAAUUGUUUAAUUGGUUGAAGGACAAAUAGUAUGAAUAUGCUCCAAAAAAGGAAAUUUUAUUCAUGGUGAAAGAGGCUAGAAAAAUGUCUAAAAUUGCACAAAGUUUGAAUGAAGAAGGAAAUUGCCUUAAAAGGCAGGAAGGUGAGAAGUGGCAUAACUUUAAGUUGUAGUACUAGAAGUAGUAUGAUAAGAAGUCAAGUCGUGAUACUAGUAGUCAUGUCAGCAGUAGAAGUAGUUUGAGAAUGAAAGAAGAAUGAGUCAAAGUAGUAAAGAAAGUUGAAAUAGUAGCAAUAGCAGCAGUAGAGAAAGUAGAAAUAGGAGCAAUAGCAGUUGAAGUAGAGGGGAAAGUUCUAGUUUAAUUGACAUUAGCAGUAGUUGUAGUACUUGAGGUAGGAUUUUGUUUGAAGGAUGGAGUAAUGCAUGAAUAUUAAAAUUAAUUUAAAACAUGGAAAAUUUAAAUACUUAAAAAUCCUCAAGUAUCAGUUUGAAUGAGUUUAAAUUUGUUUGAAAAAUUAAAUGAUAAAUCAUCAAUGAGUGACUUAUAAAAGUGAAAAAUUUAAAUGAAUAUAAAUCCUGAAUACACCCCAUAAUGUCCUCAAUGAGCUUAAAUUUUAAAGCCCUGAAUGGUUUCUGUAGGUCAAAGGUCAUGUGAGGAGAUAGGGGCUUAGGUUUUUUCAAGCGCUCUAGUAAAGGGUUGUAAGUGUCACCCCCAGUGUUAUGUGUACUGAGCCUGGCUUCAUGUGUCUCACAUGGCCAUUAGAAGCAGCUUUCAAGUCAGCUGUGUGUCUCCAGGUGCACAAAUUGGUUGCCAUGGGGACCUUGGAUGCAUAACUAUAGCAGGAGAAAGAAGGCUUGAAGCUAAGGAAACAGGACUCCAAGUAGGCCCUGACACUCAUCCUCUGUAUAUAUUCAUAAGGAGCUAGUGAGAACACAAGACUCUGCUGAACACAUUAAUACAAUUUAUUAUCACAAUCCUCAAAACAUCCCAUAAUAUCUUCAAUGAGCUGAAUUUUUCAAGCCCAGAAUGGUUUCUGUAGCUCAAAGUUUGUGGGUGGAGAUAGGUGGUGAAGCAGACACAUAUUACCUGUGUGUACAAGCAGCUGAACUGCAAGGUAGACCUGACAGCAAAAAGUACAAGAAUGUGUGUGUGUGUGUGUGUCUCGUUAAUGACUGCAUCCUGAACAGCUGUGAGAUCAAAGGCAAAUCACUGACCUACUGUUUGAAUGAGAAGCAGCUGAACUGCAGAGGAUUUAAACCAUGUGAACUUCUUCACAUAGUGUGAUUUCCUUAAGUCCCAGAAUGAAAAUAAGAACAUCGUACGAAUCCUCCGUCCUUCAUGAACACAAUGAUGUGUUUUUCAUGUCUGUACUUCGAAAAAUGAGGCCACAACAGCGAGUUAAAAAAGUCUGAGCCUGAGCGAUGAUCCGGAUUUUCUUGGAGAAAAAUAACAUUAUGGUCAAUGGGAGAGAUUUCCGCCUUCCUUGGACAGUUGGUCACCUGCUGGCCAAGGGGUACAAUUUAAUGAUUUGAAACGUCUUUUGUGAGAAGCAGGACACAUAUACCUCCAUUUUGAUGUAUUAUUUGUGUCAGUGGAGUGAGAUUUGUGGGCGUGGGAGCGGUAUAUUCGAGCGAGGUUCUGUCGAUCAGAGACGAGGUCUGCACUCUAGCUGAUGACAUCAUCUCUCUAAACUCUCCAAUACACACCCAUUAUAAAGCCUGAAAAUUUGCUGAAAACCACAAGUUGCUUAAAGCUAAAUUGUGGAAAAACUGUACAAGAUAUCAAAAAACUGAGCACAACUUUAAUAGUCGACAAGUGAAUGAACAUUUUAAAGCAAAAAUGAGGUCUCUAGGUGAAAGUAUGCUGAAGUUAUUAGGUCUAGAAGGUGGAAGAAUAAAAGGAAGAAGUGGAACAUUUCCCCAUUCAUUUCUAUGGGAAAAAAAGUUUGGCACAAAAAGUGAAAAAUAAUAAAAAGUACAAAGGAUAGAAAGGAAAAAAAUACAAGCACACAUGUCCUGAUGGAGUGGAAUAGUUUAAAGUUUGAACGGUUGAAAUCGGACAAAGUUUGAAGGAGGAGAAGCGGUCCAAAGAAACGUAUGGGGAGAGUGUUAAGUAUAAUACUAGAAAAAUUGCAUUUCCUUGCAGAAAAUGCGUGGAAAUGCUGAGUGCUGAAAGCUGAAAAAGCAAUGCUAAACUGCUAAUAAAACAUGGAGAAAUGUAUAAAUGUUAAAGCUGUUGAAGGGGUGUGAAAGAAAUGUAAGUUGGAUAAUUGAUUAAUUGGUUGAAGGACAAAUAGUAUGAAUAUGCUCUAUAAAAAGAAAUUUGAUUCAUGCUGAAAGAGGCUAGAAAAAUGUCUAAAAUUGCACAAAGUUUGAAUGAAGAAGGAAAUUGCCUUAAAAGGCAGGAAGGUGGGAAGUGGCAUAAGUUUAAUUUUUUAAGUAUUAGAAAGGUUUGAAUCAGUUUGAAUCAGUUCAAAUUAGUUUGAAAAAUUAAAUGAUAAAUCAUCACUGAGUGACUUUAAAAUGUGAAAAAUCUAAAUGUAUAAAAAUCCUAAAUACACCCCAUAAUGUCCUCAAUGAGCUCAAAUUUUAAAGCCCCGAAUGGUUUCUGUAGGUCAAAUGUCAUGUGAGGAGAUAGGGGCUGAAGUUUUUUCAAGCGCUCUAGUAAAGGGUUUUAAGUGUCAUCCCCAGUGCUAUGUGUACUGAGCCUGGCUUCAUGUGUCUCAUAUGGCCAUCAGAAGCAGCUUUCCAGUCAGCUGUGUGUCUCCAGGUGCACUAAUUGGUUGCCAUGGGGACCUUGGAUGCAUAACUAUAGCAGGAGAAAGAAGGCUUGAAGCUAAGGAAACAGGACUCCAAGUAGGCCCUGACGCUCAUCCUCUGUAUCUAUUCCUGAUAAGGAGCUUAUGAGAACACAAGACUCUGCUAAACACAUUAAUACAAUUUAUUAUCACAAUCCUCAAAACACCCCAUAAUAUCUUCAAUGAGCUGAAUUUUAGAAGCCCAGAAUGGUUUCUGUAGCUCAAAGUUUGUGGGUGGAGAUAGGUGGCGAAGCAGACACAUAUUAACUGUGUGUACAAGCAGCUGAACUGCAAGGUAGACCUCAUAAAGCAACAAGUACAAGAAUGUGUGUGUGUGUGUGUCUCGUUAAUGACUGCAUCCUAAACAGCUGUGAGAUCAAAGGCAAAUCACUGACCUACUGUUUGAAUGAGAAGCAGCUGAACUGCAGAGGAUUUAGAGGCUCUAAACUUCUUCACAUAGCGUGAUUUCCUUAAGUCACAGAAUGAAAAUAAGAACAUCGUACGAAUCCUCCGCCCUUCAUGAACACAAUGAUGUGUUUUUCAUGUCUGUACUCCGACAAAUGUGGCCACAACAGCGAGUUAAAAAAGUCUGAGCCUGAGCGAUGAUCCGGAUUUUCUUGGAGAAAAAUAACAUUACGGUCAAUCGGAGAGAUUUCCGCCUUCUUUGGACAGUUGGUCACCUGCUGGCCAAGGGGUACGAUUUAAUGAUUUGAAACCUCUUUUGUGAGAAGCAGGACACAUAUACCUCCAUUUUGAUGUAUUAUUUGUGUCAGUGGAGUGAGAUUUGUGGGCGUGGGAGCGAUAUAUUCGAGCGAGGUUCUGUCGAUCAGAGACGAGGUCUGCACUCUAGCUGAUGACAUCAUCACUCUAAACUCUCCAAUACACACCCAUUAUAAAGCUUGAAAUUUGCUGAAAACCACAAGUUGCUUAAAGCUUAAUUGUGGAAAAACUGUAAGAGAUAUCAAAAAACUGAGUACAACUGUAAUAGUCGACAAGUGAAUGAACAUUUUAAAGCAAAAAUGAGGUCUCUAGGUGAAAGUAUGCUGAAGUAGUAAGGCUUAGAAGGUGGAAGAGUAAAAGGUAGAAUUUUAAGAUUUCCCCAUUCAUUUUUAAUGGUACAAAUUUUGCACAAAAAGUUAAAAAAAACCAAAAGUAUAAAGGGUAGAAAGGAAAAAAAUACAAGCCCUCAUGUCCUGAAGGAGUGGAAUAGUUUAAAGUUUGAACGGUUUAAAUAGCACAAAAUUUGAAGGAGGAGAUAGCGGACAAAAAUUGGCGGAAGAAUAAUAAUAAUAAUAAAGAAAAUGGCCGACAGGAAUAACAAUAAGUGGAAAUGCUUAAUCAGCAUUUCCACUUAACUAG
rnacentral:lncRNA from 1 species